rnacentral:rRNA from 1 species
AGCGAACGCUGGCGGCAGGCUUAACACAUGCAAGUCGAGCGCCCGUAGCAAUACGGGAGCGGCAGACGGGAGAGUAACACGUGGGAACGUACCCUUCGGUUCGGAAUAACCCAGGGAAACUUGGGCUAAUACCGGAUACGUCCGUAAGGAGAAAGAUUUAUCGCCGGAGGAUCGGCCCGCGUCCGAUUAGCUAGUUGGUGAGGUAAUGGCUCACCAAGGCGACGAUCGGUAGCUGGUCUGAGAGGAUGAUCAGCCUCACUGGGACUGAGACACGGCCCAGACUCCUACGGGAGGCAGCAGUGGGGAAUAUUGGACAAUGGGCGCAAGCCUGAUCCAGCCAUGCCGCGUGGGUGAUGAAGGCCUUAGGGUUGUAAAGCCCUUUCGGCGGGGAGGAUAAUGACGGUACCCGCAGAAGAAGCCCCGGCUAACUUCGUGCCAGCCGCCGCAGUAACAC